rnacentral:rRNA from 1 species
AGUGAACGCUGGCGGUAGGCCUAACACAUGCAAGUCGAACGGCAGCACAGUAAGAGCUUGCUCUUACGGGUGGCGAGUGGCGGACGGGUGAGGAAUACAUCGGAAUCUACUUUUUCGUGGGGGAUGACGUAGGGAAACUUACGCUAAUACCGCAUACGACCUACGGGUGAAAGCAGGGGAUCUUCGGACCUUGCGCGAUUGAAUGAGCCGAUGUCGGAUUAGCUAGUUGGCGGGGUAAAGGCCCACCAAGGCGACGAUCCGUAGCUGGUCUGAGAGGAUGAUCGGCCACACGGGAACGGAGACACGGUCCAGACUCCUACGGGAGGCAGCAGUGGGGAAUAUUGGGCAGUGGGCGCAAGCCUGAUCCAGCCAGACCGCGUGGGAGAAGAAGGCGUUCGGUUUGUAAAGCCCUUUUGUUGGGUAAGAAAAGCAGCAGGUUAAUACCCCGCUGUUCUGACGGUACCCAAAGAAUAAGCACCGGCUAACUUCGUG